GACGAACGCUGGCGGCGUGCUUAACACAUGCAAGUCGAACGAUGAACCCGGAGCUUGCUCCGGUGGAUUAGUGGCGAACGGGUGAGUAACACGUGAGUAACCUGCCCUUGACUCUGGGAUAACUGCGGGAAACUGUAGCUAAUACCGGAUACGACCCUCGGCGGCAUCGCCAGGGGGUGGAAAGAAUUUCGGUUAGGGAUGGGCCCGCGGCCUAUCAGCUUGUUGGUGAGGUAGUGGCUCACCAAGGCGACGACGGGUAGCCGGCCUGAGAGGGCGACCGGCCACACUGGGACUGAGACACGGCCCAGACUCCUACGGGAGGCAGCAGUGGGGAAUAUUGCGCAAUGGGCGAAAGCCUGACGCAGCAACGCCGCGUGCGGGAUGACGGCCUUCGGGUUGUAAACCGCUUUCAGCAGGGAAGAAGCCGCAAGGUGACGGUACCUGCAGAAGAAGCACCAGCUAACUACGUGCCAGCAGCCGCCGUAA
rnacentral:rRNA from 1 species